UGCAGUCGAGCGGCAGCACGGGUACUUGUACCUGGUGGCGAGCGGCGGACGGGUGAGUAAUGCCUAGGAAUCUGCCUGGUAGUGGGGGAUAACGCUCGGAAACGGACGCUAAUACCGCAUACGUCCUACGGGAGAAAGCAGGGGACCUUCGGGCCUUGCGCUAUCAGAUGAGCCUAGGUCGGAUUAGCUAGUUGGUGAGGUAAUGGCUCACCAAGGCGACGAUCCGUAACUGGUCUGAGAGGAUGAUCAGUCACACUGGAACUGAGACACGGUCCAGACUCCUACGGGAGGCAGCAGUGGGGAAUAUUGGACAAUGGGCGAAAGCCUGAUCCAGCCAUGCCGCGUGUGUGAAGAAGGUCUUCGGAUUGUAAAGCACUUUAAGUUGGGAGGAAGGGCAGUUACCUAAUACGUAUCUGUUUUGACGUUACCGACAGAAUAAGCACCGGCUAACUCUGUGCCAGCA
rnacentral:rRNA from 1 species